rnacentral:pre_miRNA from 9 species
UCUCGUUAGCGUACAAGUUAACUCAAAUUUGUAUGAAGUUGGAACGUUUGCCUAUGUUUGGCGCUAGGGGCGCUGUUCCAACUGCAUACAAUUAGAGUUGGCUUUUACGCUUUCGA